rnacentral:rRNA from 1 species
UACGUAGGGUGCGAGCGUUAAUCGGAAUUACUGGGCGUAAAGCGUGCGCAGGCGGUUUUGUAAGUCUGUCGUGAAAUCCCCGGGCUCAACCUGGGAAUUGCGAUGGAGACUGCAAGGCUAGAAUCUGGCAGAGGGGUAGAAUUCCACGUGUAGCAGUGAAAUGCGUAGAGAUGUGGAGGAACACCGAUGGCGAAGGCAGCCCCUGGGUCAAGAUUGACGCUCAUGCACGAAAGCGUGGG